AACUGGGAUUAGAUACCCCACUAUGCAUAACUGUAAACAUCGAUAGCAAUUUACUCGCAAUCCGCCAGGGAACUACAAGCAUUGGCUUGAAACCCAAAGGACUUGGCGGUGCUUUAGACCCACCUAGAGGAGCCUGUUCUA
rnacentral:rRNA from 1 species